rnacentral:rRNA from 1 species
UAGGGAAUCUUCCGCAAUGGACGAAAGUCUGACGGAGCAACGCCGCGUGAGUGAAGAAGGAUUUCGGUUCGUAAAACUCUGUUGUUAGGGAAGAAAAAAUGUACAGUAACUAUAUACAAAAGAGACGGUACCUAACCAGAAAGCCACGGCUAACUACGUGCCAGCAGCCGCGGUAAUACGUAGGUGGCAAGCGUUGUCCGGAAUUAUUGGGCGUAAAGCGCGCGCAGGUGGUUUAGAAAGUCUGAUGUGAAAGCCCACGGCUCAACCGUGGAGGGUCAUUGGAAACUAAUAAACUUGAGUGCAGGAGAGAAAAGUGGAAUUCCUAGUGUAGCGGUGAAAUGCGUAGAGAUUAGGAGGAACACCGGUGGCGAAAGCGGCUUUUUGGCCUGCAACUGACACUGAGGCGCGAAAGCGUGGGGAGCAAACAGG